AACUCACGGUGAGGGCACCUUCUCAGUAAGUCCUUGUAUCUCUCCCGUGCAUCGUAAAGUGUUUCUAAAUCCAUCUACACAAAAUAAUAGAUAUCAUUUCAUAAUUU
rnacentral:snoRNA from 1 species